GGAGUUCUAACUCAAACUCUGGGGGGACUCCAUACUAAAUUCAUAUCCGACUCAAGUCGUUCGAAUUUAGUAUAGAGUCAGAGGUGCUGGAUCCAACCUCGCUUCAGUUUUCAGUUAGGUUCUUAGGAUUCACUAUUAGAGAGGAUUGAUCUCCCACAGAAUCAUCGAAACCCGCCAUUUAAGUCAAAGUGAAGAAGCCAAAAAAAAGUAGUCUAGAGAA
rnacentral:lncRNA from 1 species